rnacentral:tRNA from 1 species
CAGGCUUUAUAGUUUAAUUCAAAAUAUUAGGUUGCAAAUCUAGAGAUGUAAUUUUACUAAAGCUU